rnacentral:rRNA from 1 species
CUACGGGCGGCUGCAGUGGGGAAUAUUGCACAAUGGGGGAACCCUGAUGCAGCCAUGCCGCGUGUGUGAAGAAGGCUUUCGGGUUGUAAAGCACUUUCAGUGGGGAGGAAAGGGUGCAGAUUAAUACUCUGUAUCUGUGACGUUACCCACAGAAGAAGCACCGGCUAACUCCGUGCCAGCAGCCGCGGUAAUACGGAGGGUGCGAGCGUUAAUCGGAAUUACUGGGCGUAAAGCGCGCGUAGGUGGUUAAUUAAGUCAGAUGUGAAAGCCCAGGGCUCAACCCUGGAACAGCAUUUGAAACUGGUUAACUAGAGUUUUGUAGAGGGUGGUAGAAUUUCAGGUGUAGCGGUGAAAUGCGUAGAGAUCUGAAGGAAUACCAGUGGCGAAGGCGGCCACCUGGACAGAGACUGACACUGAGGCGCGAAGGCGUGGGGAGCAAACGGGAUUAGAUACCCUUGUAGUC